UGACGGUACCCCAAGAGAAAGCUCCGGCUAAUUAUGUGCCAGCAGCCGCGGUAAUACAUAAGGAGCAAGCGUUAUCCGGAAUUAUUGGGCGUAAAGAGCUCGUAGGCGGUCUUAAAAGUCAGGUGUGAAAUCAUCAGGCUCAACCUGAUAAGGUCAUCUGAAACUCUAAGACUUGAGGAUAGAAGAGGAAAGUGGAAUUCCCGGUGUAGCGGUGAAAUGCGUAUAUAUCGGGAGGAAUACCAGUGGCGAAGGCGGCUUUCUGGUCUAUUUCUGACGCUGAG
rnacentral:rRNA from 1 species